GAUGAACGCUGGCGGCGUGCCUAAUACAUGCAAGUCGAGCGAAUGGAUUAAGAGCUUGCUCUUAUGAAGUUAGCGGCGGACGGGUGAGUAACACGUGGGUAACCUGCCCAUAAGACUGGGAUAACUCCGGGAAACCGGGGCUAAUACCGGAUAAUAUUUUGAACUGCAUGGUUCAAAAUUGAAAGGCGGCUUCGGCUGUCACUUAUGGAUGGACCCGCGUCGCAUUAGCUAGUUGGUGAGGUAACGGCUCACCAAGGCAACGAUGCGUAGCCGACCUGAGAGGGUGAUCGGCCAAACUGGGACUGAGACACGGCCCAGACUCCUACGGGAGGCAGCAGUAGGGAAUCUUCCGCAAUGAACGAAAGUCUGACGGAGCAACGCCGCGUGAGUGAUGAAGGCUUUCGGGUCGUAAAACUCUGUUGUUAGGGAAGAACAAGUGCUAGUUGAAUAAGCUGGCACCUUGACGGUACCUAACCAGAAAGCCACGGCUAACUACGUGCCAGCCGCCGCCGUAA
rnacentral:rRNA from 1 species